rnacentral:lncRNA from 1 species
GUUUAUCCUCUAUUGCUACUAAUUCCAAUAUUUCUCUUUCUUCACAUGAUUCUUCGAGCGACAAUGGCGAAAGUGAGGAGGAAUCAAACGACGAGGAUAUAGCGGAAGCAUACAAUCAACUUCUUAUUGAAUCAAAGAAGGCGGCUAAACUUAAUAAGAAGUUGAGGCGUCGUUUGUUGAAUCUAAAAAGAGGAUAACAACAACUUGAAGACCACGAACAAAGCUCUUUAGGAGGAAAGGGAAUCAAUUUUGAAAAAUAAUUCGGACCUCCAAGAGAAGCUCAAUGAAGCGAAAUCAACGGUCAAAUCAUCUAAAGACAAGAUUGGAUUUUUGGAGCAUCAAUUUCAUGAAUCACACAAAUCCAAUCCAUCCUUGACCAAUCAAGUUCGUCAACUUCAAUCCGACAUUCAAAGAUUUUCUUCGGGGUCUAAGAAGUUGGAUCAUAUGCUCGGAUUGGGUCAAAUGAAUAAGUUGGGCCUCGGAUAUGAAAGAACAUAUGAUGAGAAGGAUUCAAAAUCAACCUCUAAAGUCUCAACAACUUUGAAAGAGAAGGUGUGUCAUAAAUGUGGCAUCAAAGGACACAUCAAAAGGAGUUGCCCGAUCAAGACAAAGAAGAAUCAAUUGGCAACUUCGCAACGUCAAUCGGCAUCAUCUACAACUCGACUUCCCCCACGGAAUCAAAAGCAAAAUCAAGUGAGUCGAGUACCUCAAGAGAAUCGGAUCCCACCUAAGCCACAAAGCAAACCGGAUUUCUAAGCCUAAACGACAAGUUCAACCGAUGCCUCAAGCUAAGAAACCACCAACGGUUGAUAAAAAAUCUAAACAAACGGCACCUAACGUCGACAAGUCGAGAAAACCAACGGUCCGACAAGUUUGGAUCCGGAAAGGUGAUAUCUUUCCU